GAUUGAGGGGCGUUGCUUUGGCGGUGUGGUAUAUUAGGCGGGACGCCGGCACUCCCCCUUUCAUUCGCGCGUUAGGAGGCUCUGGUGUGUGUCCUGCGCCGUCUUACCGCCCGCGUCAGGGACCUUCCCGACUCCGCGGGGAAGCAUCCCGGUGUGCACAGCCACCAUGGCAUCAGACGAAGGCAAGCUGUUCGUGGGAGGGCUUAGCUUUGACACCAAUGAGCAGGCGCUGGAGCAGGUGUUCUCCAAGUAUGGGCAGAUAUCGGAAGUGGUGGUUGUCAAGGACAGGGAGACCCAGAGGUCUCGGGGCUUCGGGUUUGUCACCUUCGAGAAUAUCGAUGACGCCAAGGAUGCCAUGAUGGCCAUGAACGGAAAGUCGGUUGACGGGCGGCAGAUCCGUGUAGACCAGGCUGGCAAGUCAUCAGACAACCGGUCCCGUGGGUAUCGGGGCGGCUCCGCUGGGGGCCGAGGCUUCUUCCGUGGAGGGCGCAGCCGGGGCCGCGGCUUCUCCAGAGGGGGCGGAGACCGGGGCUAUGGUGGUGGCCGCUUCGAGUCCCGGAGCGGGGGCUACAGCGGUUCCCGGGACUAUUAUGGCAGCCGGAGUCAGGGUGGCGGCUACGGGUACCGGAGCUCCGGCGGCUCCUACCGGGACAGCUAUGACAGCUACGGUGAGUGCGGCUGCGCGGGGUGGGGCGGGGCGCGGGGCGCGGCUCACUGUGUCCUCUGUCUCCAGCCACGCACAGCGAGUGAAGCCGCAGACCAUUCUCCGUGGCCGUCACAGACAGGGAGCCGCGCCGGUGGUCCUGAGCAGCCGCCCCCCACUUUUGUAGCCCCCGAGUUGUCAGCGUCCACAGCCUGUGCCUCCAAUCGCGGCCUGGUCCCCAGAGUUUUCCUUUCACGGAAGCGCUGUCCGUUUGAGAGUUUUACAGACGUUCCGGAAAGCACUUGGAUUUUACUUUUUUACCAUGAGCCAUGGGUUUUGUUUUUUCUAAAUUGUCGGGGUUUGUGGGUUUUGCUUACUGGUUUUGUUAUUGGAGUUUUCCGGUUGCAUUGUUUUUUGUGCAGGGCGGUCUGUGGAGCUGGCCCCGUACCCCGCACUGGUGCAGGACUCAGCCAGGUGCCAGGGUCUGGGAAGGGUAUUUAUAGUGUCCUUUUUUUACGGCAGCCGUGCGUUCUCCAUCCAUGUGUGCUCGCGUGGACAGCGAUCCUUGUACCAAGUUUGUUUGGCUUCACGAAGCCGAUUAAAGACCGUGUGAAUCGAACUCUGCCGUUUCCCUUUCUCACGCCUCGCCCAGCUCACAGUGGCCAGACAGGGCAAGCGGCUUGGGCACGGGGUCCACGCCUGCUACCCUGCUCUGGCCACAGCCCCAGCGCCCCGCCACUCCGCCGCUCCUGCACAGGACUGACAGCAACUGGGCUUCCAGAACCUUCUAGAAACCAGUUAUGCUAGGACAGCCCAUGCAGGGACUGCAUCCUGACCCCACAUCUGCCCUGUGGCAUUUUUGCUCCUGUGACUUCAGACCUGCAGCUGCUGGUCCAGCAGGGCCUGGCCACCUGGGGGCCCUCGUGGUGUCCGAACCAAGGUUGAAGGAGAGAGAGCCAGACCAGCUGGAAGGAUUGCGGGGUGCUGGGGUGCUGGGGUGCCCCAGCCAGCGGGAGCCAGAGACACCUGCAUGCGUUCCCUGGGUCCCAGCAGGACCCUGAGGCUCGGACUUCUGGUCUUCAACUCCUGUGGCCUCAUCCCCACGCCAGGAGGAGCCCAGCUUCCGGUGCUGUGACUCAAUGGGCGGAGCCCCCAGCGAGCACCUGGCCCUGCAUCCUCCUUUAGCCACAGGCGUAGUGACAUAUGCCCGUCAUCCCAGCACUCAGAAGUUCAGGCUCAGCCUGGUCUACAUGGGACCCUGUCUUUGAUAAACAAAAGGCCUUACUCCUCCGAUACCCGCAGCUGCUGUGGCCGCAUUGGCCAGGGCUUUAAGGAGUCAGGAUUCUAC